ensembl:snRNA U6 U6 spliceosomal RNA
GUGCUCACUUCAGCAGCAUUUAUACUAAAAUUGGAAUGAAUAUAGAGAAGAUUAGCAUGGCCCCUGUGCAAGGGUGACACAAAAAUUUAUGAAGUGUUCCAUUUAAAA